rnacentral:rRNA from 1 species
GAUGAACGCUGGCGGCGUGCCUAAUACAUGCAAGUCGAGCGAACGGACGAGAAGCUUGCUUCUCUGAUGUUAGCGGCGGACGGGUGAGUAACACGUGGAUAACCUACCUAUAAGACUGGGAUAACUUCGGGAAACCGGAGCUAAUACCGGAUAAUAUUUUGAACCGCAUGGUUCAAAAGUGAAAGACGGUCUUGCUGUCACUUAUAGAUGGAUCCGCGCUGCAUUAGCUAGUUGGUAAGGUAACGGCUUACCAAGGCAACGAUGCAUAGCCGACCUGAGAGGGUGAUCGGCCACACUGGAACUGAGACACGGUCCAGACUCCUACGGGAGGCAGCAGUAGGGAAUCUUCCGCAAUGGGCGAAAGCCUGACGGAGCAACGCCGCGUGAGUGAUGAAGGUCUUCGGAUCGUAAAACUCUGUUAUUAGGGAAGAACAUAUGUGUAAGUAACUGUGCACAUCUUGACGGUACCUAAUCAGAAAGCCACGGCUAACUACGUGCCAGCAGCCGCGGUAAUACGUAGGUGGCAAGCGUUAUCCGGAAUUAUUGGGUGUAAAGCGCGCGUAGGCGGUUUUUUAGUCUGAUGUGAAAGCCCACGGCUCAACCGUGGAGGGUCAUUGGAAACUGGAAAACUUGAGUGCAGAAGGGGAAAGUGGAAUUCCAUGUGUAGCGGUGAAAUGCGCAGAGAUAUGGAGGAACACCAGUGGCGAAGGCGACUUUCUGGUCUGUAACUGACGCUGAUGUGCGAAAGCGUGGGGAUCAAACAGGAUUAGAUACCCUGGUAGUCCACGCCGUAAACGAUGAGUGCUAAGUGUUAGGGGGUUUCCGCCCCUUAGUGCUGCAGCUAACGCAUUAAGCACUCCGCCUGGGGAGUACGACCGCAAGGUUGAAACUCAAAGGGAUUGACGGGGACCCGCACAAGCGGUGGAGCAUGUGGUUUAAUUCGAAGCAACGCGAAGAACCUUACCAAAUCUUGACAUCCUUUGACAACUCUAGAGAUAGAGCUUUCCCCUUCGGGGGACAAAGUGACAGGUGGUGCAUGGUUGUCGUCAGCUCGUGUCGUGAGAUGUUGGGUUAAGUCCCGCAACGAGCGCAACCCUUAAGCUUAGUUGCCAUCAUUAAGUUGGGCACUCUAAGUUGACUGCCGGUGACAAACCGGAGGAAGGUGGGGAUGACGUCAAAUCAUCAUGCCCCUUAUGAUUUGGGCUACACACGUGCUACAAUGGACAAUACAAAGGGCAGCGAAACCGUGAGGUCAAGCAAAUCCCAUAAAGUUGUUCUCAGUUCGGAUUGUAGUCUGCAACUCGACUACAUGAAGCUGGAAUCGCUAGUAAUCGUAGAUCAGCAUGCUACGGUGAAUACGUUCCCGGGUCU